UGGAAGAUUUUUUCUCACAAAUUGAAAGGUCAUGGCCCUAUAUGUGUACGUAGUCAAAAACCCAUGCACAAAAGGAUAGAUGGCCUCCCAAAUUAAGUAAAUUAGAGAUGACAGGUAUGUACACUUCCACAGGUUACUCUCACAGCAUUUUGGGGUUAUAAAUAAGUAAAUUAGGGUUUCAAAUCAAUUUCACAUAGUAUUUUUAAGGAAACUCUAAGGUGCUGUGCCUUCUCCUUUCAAAGUCACUUACUAGAUAUCAUUCUUAUACCAUUAGAACCAGUAGAUUUAAAGUUGCUGCAACAAGAUCAACAAUUGCUAAUGAUCUAAAAUCUUUGAGUGAGAUUUCAAAGUCACAAACGUGGGUAUUUGUGAGCGACAGAUUCAAGAUAAAAGUGUCCGUGGAUUUGGAACUGCAUGUGGUCGUGUGAGUAAGUUCUACAUAAGGUGCCUCACGACGUUGGGCCAUCAUCAGGACAUAAUUUUGAUUAUUCCUUCAAAAUGUUUGUUACGCGAUAUAAAUAAUUGUCCAGUCUUGAGGAUAUUUGUCUCAUAAUUAUUUGGUGGCGCAUACAACAAAUGGUUAUCUCAACAGUCUUUUAGCAUAUUGUUUAAAAAUUCAUUCUUGUACUUUUGUUUUUCAUUUUUUAGACCGGAUUUUAUUUGGCAUUUUAUAGUAUCUGUAUGGUGAAUAAUUUUUAUAUAGAAACAAUAGGAUUAGAAUAUAUGAUAACUGAUUCAUAAUUAUUGUUUUUUUUAUCGUUAAUUCAAAAUACUAAUGAUUUUUUUUUUUUUAUAGGCGAGAUUCAUCCCUAAAUUUUUUAUAAUUGGAAUACAUUAUAUAGCAUAUAUAUUCAAGAAAAUAAGAUUUAUUUGUUAGAAAAUUAGAUAUUGAUCGAGAUGGUUCGAAAAAUAAUUCACUAAUUUUUCUAUUACCAAUCGAUAGUUGAUUGCUGAAUUUUAUAACUUACUGAGAAUGAGAUUAAAAAAUAUAUAUCCAUAAUUUGGAGGAAAAGUGAAAGGCUGGUUUGUGCUAGGUUUUAUAGGAUGGCCCAAAAAGGUAAUUGGGUCCAAGCCCAAGCCCAAGCCCGCUCCAACGAUGCAGCUAGUUCAUGAGUUGACGCAGUUGAGUUGAGUUGAGUUGAGUUGAGUCACGUUAUCUGGUCCGAGUCGUAUACUAAAACCCCUCUAACUAGGGGUGUGUCGGUUCGGUUUCGGUCGGUUUUCUAAGUGUUGGCCAACCGAAACCGAAAUUUUCCGUUUGGGAAAUUCUCAACCGAAACCGACCGAAAUAAUUGGAAAUCCGUCGGUUUCAGUUGGAUUUGAUUUCGGUCGAUUUCAGUCGGUUUUUCGGUUUCCUCAUCAUUUAUUUUCUAAGAAAGCAAACAAAGAAAAAAAAUUAACAAACCCAGAAAGCAGAAACCCAGAAAAUAUUAACAAACCCAAAAGAAAUAAACAAACCCAGAAAAACCCUUUGCUUUCCCACGUUUUCUCACCACCCAAACACCAACAAACACCAAGCACCAAGCACCAAGCAAAGUAGCACACACAAAACCUAAAAAAAAAAAAAAAAGAGAGAACGGCGAAGAAGUGUACCAGCGAAGCCAAACUCACAACCUUUUACAAACGAAGAACAAAACCCAAACACCCAAAAACCUUGAAACCCAAACACUAAGAACAAAACCCAAACCACGAACCCAAAAACCUUGAAACCCAAAUAGAAACCCACAAAGAACAAAACCCAAACCACGAAGACAGAAAAAUCAAACCAGAGAGGCGGCGACAGCGAAGGAGGUGGCGGCGAUUGAACCCAGGUGGCGAAGACUCCAGGCAGCGGCGACAACGGGGUUUGUUGAUGUUUUCUCUCUGGAUCUUUGGGUGGGUUUCUUGAUUCUUGUUCUUGAUUCUCUCUGAAUCUUGUUCUUGGUGUGGGUUUUUCAUUUCUUGCUUCUUUAUGCUCUCUCUUGAUGUUGCCAACGGAAGUGAGAGAGCAAAACCCAAACGUGAAAGACAAAUGCAGAAAAUAGGAUUAAUAGGGUUAUAAAGCAAACCCCAAAACGACGUAGUUUUGGUAAUAAGGAAAGGAAAAAUAAAAAAGGCAUUACUAAGGGUCGAACCUGGGCUGACUGUAGACAAGCAUGUCUCCUUGCCACUAGGAUACCAGGUACUUUGCUAGAAUAUUUUGUACAAAUUAUUAUUUAAUAUAUUUUGGUUUGGUUCGGUCGGUUCGGCCUAUUAGAAAUUGCAACCGAAAACCGAACCGAAAUUAUCGGUUUUUUAUAUGAUAAAACUGAAACCGAACUGAAACCGAAACCGAACCGAAAUUUUUGCAUCGGUUUGGUCAGUUUGAAGCGGUUUUUUCGGUUCGUCGGUUUUUUGCACACCCCUACCUCUAACCCAAAACCAAAGCCCCAAAGCAAAACCAUUUCUUCAACUAUUAUAGGGAUAUGUCUGUUUCCUUCUCUUCCCUUCAGCUCUUCCGUCAAAAACCUCUCUUUUCUGUAAGUACUCUCUCUCUCUCUCUCUCUCUCUCUCUCUGUGUAUGUCUUUCUCUUUGUAUUAUUUUGUGUUUGAAGUAAUGGGUUAUUGUUGCAGAGCCUUUAUUGGAACCGAAGGGCAACUGGGUUGUGGAGAAGCACAAAUUUUGUGAGGAGUAUUGCUGUUAAGGCAGGCCCAAAGAGGGUAUCUUUUGGUAAAGAAUGCAGGGAGGCCUUAGGACCUAGAGGUAUCUUUUGGUAAAGAAUGAUGGGAUUGAUAAGCUGGCUGAUGCUGUCUCUCUCACCUUAGGACCUAGAGGCCGUAAUGUUAUUCUUUCUGAGUUUGGAUCGCUUAAAGUAAUUAAUGUUGGCGUUACAAUUGCUCGAUCCAUGGAGCUUUCAGAUGCAAUUGAGAAUGCAGGAGCAAUGCUAAUCCAAGAGGUCAUUCAUGGUUGCAACCAAAAUGAAUGAUUUGGUUGGUGAUGGUACAACUACUACAAUUGUUUUGGCUCAAGCAAUGAUCAAAUCUGGGAUGCUGGCAGUUGCUUUUGGGGCUAACCCAGUUUCUUUGAAGAAAGGAAUGGAUAAGACUGUGAAAGAAUUGGUCAAGGUCUUGAAGAAGAAAAGUGUGCUAGUAAGAAGAAGAGAUGAUAUAAAAGGUAUUUAGAGCAUGUCCUGUGAGUUACCAUCAAAAGCAAAAGAGAAAAGCGCUUCAAGUUUUGGCCUUGUCCCCUCCAGCUGCUCCAUUAGAAGCACCCUCAGGAUCAGCAAUAUCAUCCUCUGGAGCAUUCUCUUUGGGAGCAGCAGUAGCUUGGGUGGCCUCGUCAACCUCCAUCUCCUUGUCCACUUCCUCGAAGUCCAAAUCCUCCAUGUUUACUCCUGAGGGAUGCUUGACCAAAUACCGACUGAGAAGCUUGAAGCCUUUGUAAUACCAACUAAAGAGCAUGGUGUUAUACUCUUCAGUCAAUUGAAAAGCUUGAACAGCCUUGGCAGCCAUGGAUUUAACCUUCUGGUUUGCAGCCUGAAACUAUUUGUCUUCUUUCACCAUCAGCUGCUUCUCGACCUUAAGCUUGUUAGCCAAAGCCUUGGCCUUCUCCUUGGCUAAGUUGGCUUUGUCCAUGGCAGUAAUGAGAUCCCUCCUCAACUUCGUGUUCUUAGCCUCCAGAGCCUCUACCUUGGACCCUGCCACCAUUGCCUUCUCCUCAUGACUCAGGUACUUAGAAGUUAUGUGGAUUGUCUCUCCCAGCACUUGAAAAUCAUAAGAAGAGAAGAGUUAUAAGCAUCAAGAACCAUCCCACUUCAUGAGUUACACAACCAAAUGAAAAGAAGCCUCACCUGGAUGAGCUUGUGAAUAUGGCGGUUCACAACCUCGUGAAAAGGGCGCUAGAAAGCACCUUGAGGUCCUCGGCAGUGACGACAUAAUGGGCCCUCGCCAAGGCAAGGCCAACAUCAUCCCAAACGCUGGACGUUUGGGAGGCUACCUUCUCCUUCCCUUUUGCCAACAUCCUCUACCUCUUUGGAUGAGGACUAAGCUCUUCCAAUGAAGUAGUAGGAGAGACCGUCUUCAUGGCCUCGGGGAUGGAGGUGGCCGAAGUAAUCGGGGUCCCCUUCUCAAGAACCUGCACCACCUUCUUCCCCAGGUUGGAAAGAGGCUCAUUCUUAGAAGGAGGGCUUCGAACCAAGGAAAUGACGAGCUAAAGUUUGAGGAUCGACAAGGUCGUCAAAAUCAUCGAUUGUUUUUGCAUACUCAGUGGCUACCUGGACACACUCCUUGUACCUACUCUUGAGCUUAGGGCGCUCCUUAACUGCAAAUACACAACAAGCAAGGUUAAUGACGAAUCAAAUUGAAAAGAGAAAGAACUGUUAAGAAAUAAGCAAAGGACGACGCACCUAGCCUUAGGGACCACCACCGACAAAGCAAUCUAAGAACCUCACCCUAUAAGUCUUCAGAAAGAGUCUCCCAUCCAUCUCUAGACACGAAGAAGCAACUGGAUUUCCAAUACCAAAAAGACAAAAGAAGAUCCGUGAUAAUCUUCGCCUUCUUAACCUAGGGCACAAGGCUGUAGUACCUAUACUCCUUAGACUCCUUUAAACGAUAUAGGUGAACAAAGUUGUCUAACCUGGUCAUGUUACCUUCAGUGAUGACCAUCCAAAUCUCCAUACAACUAAUUACUAUCCUUCAUGAGUUUGACAUAAGUUGCCCAGGAGCAAUGUUGAAGUGGUUCAAGAGUUCCAUGAUGAACGGAUGGACAGGGAAUCUAAGGCCACACUAGAAAGUAGCAUCAUAGAAGCACACUUCCCUUGGCGAAAAAGUAUAAGCCUUUUCCCCUUCAUGAGGAAGUCGAAUCUUAACCUCCUCAGGGAAUUGAAAUCUAUCCCUAAACCUAAAAAGGGUAUCAGCGUCUAAGGCAUACUCCUCCUUAAGGGCGUGGAAAGGCCUAUUCUCCCUCUGUCUAGACAAUGAAAGGCCAAACGUAGCGGUAUCUCCCUCCGCCUCGAUGGGGUCAUCACUAGAUGACAACCCCAUCUCAAGCUUACUAGACCUCACCUCAAAUACCCCUUCUCUUUCACCUACCAUCUCCCUAAACCAAUUCAAAGACUGAUGUAGCAAAGGAUACAAAUCAACUAACAUAAAACCUAAACCACUAUUCCUAGACACAAAACCUUCAAUUGGGGGGCAACAAGCACUGGAAGAACCAAAAGAUGCUCCUAAGCAAGCAAAAAAGAAAGAAACGGAUGGAUAAAGCUUUCUAAUCUUAGAAUUUUGGACCAUGAAAUUAGUACAUAGUCUUAAGUUGAAAAAGAAAGGUAGAAAAAACUUCGCUGUAAAAAGGAAAGGUAAAAGAAAGAGAAAUCAUACCUCCAAAAUGGAAAAACCAAGCUUAGAAAGGAAAAAGUUGCUAGAGUUCAAGGAGCUUGGAGAGGAAGAGUUCAGAGCAACAAUGGUGAGAGAGAGAAAGAGAAAAAGUAAAGAAGGAGAGGAACAACUAAGUAGUUUAAAAGCUAGGCUUGGAAAAGUGAAAAUCUGCAGGAAACCCAAAAGUCCCUCGAAUAAAACGUUGCUAUCCACCACUCAGAGUGCACGACGUGGCCACGACACGUAUGGUGCUGCCACUCUGCAUUAAAUGUAGACACAACAAAAAUCUCAAAAGUCACAUCUGAACAAAUAACCUUUCAUAUUCUCAAGAUCGUCAUCACACGCAAGGACGAUCUCAGAAUAAGGGGGCUACUGAUAGAUCGAGUAAUUACUCUCGUCCUGAAGAGCCAGCCUGGAUGAGGAUAGAGCGCCAUAAAAACAUCUAUUCAAUGCCCCGACGGUUACAUAUCAGUGAUGAGACUGUUGGAACCUCCAUUAAGGCUGAAUUAAGUACGCCUGAGGCAUUACCAAAAAGCUUUCAAGUCACCAUUUAAGAAGGACAACGGCUAGUAAGAAGAGCCUAUUUAUAGGACCUACCAAGUCCCAGACAAAGUAGAUACACACUAAUCAUUUUUUACUCUUGUUACCAAAUUCUCUCUAUUUUUUGAGCUCCAUUUGUUGACUUUAUCAUCGGAGACUCCAUGGCCAACACCACACCAAUGACCACCUAAGAGGAUUUCCCUUUUUCACUCACACCGCAAGAACUUGGUUGAGCUCAUAUUAGAAACCCUCUGGAUGAACCCAACUAUUGACGAUCUUAGCAUCAUCAAUAUAUAUAAAAUAUAUUUAUAUUAAAAAAAAAUUGGGGGCAUUGCCUCCAAAGUCAAUGACUAGCUACGUCCCUGGUCUCAACAUAUGUAUUUAUCGUUUACUUGAAUAUUACUGCAAACGUGAAAUUAUAGCUUGAGUUAUUUUGUAUCGUGGAACCUAUUAUCGUCUCUAUGUCUUUGUGUAGCCACGCAAAAGACAUGCACAAAAAAAGAAGAAAAAUGCUUGAAAAACAUAGUGUCGGUGGGUGACUCUCAGAACAUUUUGGGAGGUGAAAGAGGAACUUAGUUUAAAAAUAGAGCAGUUGGCUUAAACCUUAAUGGAUGCCUCUUGUCCUUCAAUCACUAACAUGAAUGAAAGAGCUUAUGCGUUUAUAUGUACUGGAAUUUACAACUAAACUGAAGCACCUACUCUGAAGUCUGAA